ensembl:lncRNA novel transcript
UCUCUGAUCUCUGAUCUCUGACCUGCGUUCUUAGCUGGGACGUCGAGUUCUCCCAGGAUAAUUAUCGACCAGCAGAACCAGCCUGAAACCACCACUGAAACACAAUUUAUGCCUUGCUAUCUUCCUAAGGAUUAAGCAUCUGGCUGCCAUGUAAGACGUGCCUUUCAGCUUCCACCAUGAUUGUGAGGUCUCUCCAGCCACAUGUAACUGUGUUCCAAGAUAAUGAAUACUUCCAUAGCAACAAAAGUCUGACAAUAAACGGUUACCUUGAUUUUCACAUUUUCAAAGAAAAAUCCCUCAAUGGCAACUAGACCAGAAGUCUCAACACUGAAUAUGCAAUAAUGGCUACAAGUUACAGGAUAUCAAAGUGGAGUGUGAACCAGCCAGGAGGAGAACGAAUAACACCCAAAGACAAAAAAGGACUUGUUGUCUUUUCUGGGGAAAGGUGAAGAAAGGAACAAGGUGUUCAGCUAAUAACGUGGUUUGGGAAGGGAGUUUGAAAAGAGAAGAUAAAGAAAUACUCAUCUAGGAGAGUAGGAGUGUGGAUGGACUAGAAAAAAGAAAAAGAAAUUCUUGGUCCCCAACAUGGAAAUCCAAGAUGCAAGGAAAUCAUAGGCUCUGAAUCACCUGGGGAAGAAACCGCUGCAGACCAAAUUGCAUCUUAGAUCCAUUAAAUCAGAAACUUGGAUUGCUGGAUUCAGGUACAAGUAUUUUUAAAGCUCCCUAAGUGAUUAUAAUGUAUAGCCAAAGUUGAGAACUACUGCUUUGGAGCCACUGGUCUAAUGGAACAAAUUGCAUUGAUUUACUUCCCUUAAUAUUACUAUGUAUAACUAACUAAAUAAGAUGUAUUAUUUUAUGUUUCUUCUUAAUAUUGGCAUAAACCAAUAAAUUAGUGUAUGUAUGUUUCAUUGUUAGAAGAAUAUAUGAAUAUUAUUUUUGUACCAGAUAUUCCAUCAGGAGCAGAAACGUUCACAGAAAAGGGGCACAAAUUUUAGGGGCAGAGUAAGAUGUGAACCAUACAAUCAGCUCUGAGCAUCCUCCUCUGCCCAUUUGCCUCAUAUGGUUUUAAGGAUGGUAAGUGCAGAUAAAGCUGUGAAUGAGAAGAGGAACAGAGCAGUCAUCAUGGAACAUGAGAGAGAAGCUAUGUAUUCAAGGCCCCAGAACCACAAGUAGAAGGAGCCUGGAUCCCAGAUAAUUUUGUGGGUCCCAUAGUCCUGAAUUGCCUGCCCAGGCUUUAACAUGAAAGAGAACAAUUUCUCUAUUUCAUUUAAACCACAGUUAUUACAGGGUCUCUUUCAACAGCCAAACCUAUUACCUAACUAACACAAGUCAUGACCAGGUAGUCUUGCUAACAGAAUAUCUCAUAUUCAAUUAAGUGUUUUAAAUAUAUACCAUUGUUACUGCAC